CGUCACAUCACAGAGAUUUCACCACUGUGUUCACUCCAAAUUAAUCUCUUCUGAGUACCAGAGGACUCACCAUGUGGCUAAAAGGUUUUAUAAGUAACCAUGUCAACAUGAAACUUCUGAAGACCUGUGUCAUCCUUCUCCUUCUGACUGUGUUGUUCUUUGUACUAAGAAACAUGGACCUGCUGCAGCUAAAUUAUAAAGAAAACUCUGCCAUCAUCAACAAGAACGUGACCUCUACUCAGCCCACUGCUCC